rnacentral:rRNA from 1 species
GACGAACGCUGGCGGCGUGCUUAACACAUGCAAGUCGAGCGGAGCGGCGAACGGGUGAGUAACGCGUGAGUAACUGCCCCCCUCCCUGGGAUAACAGUUGGAAACGGCUGCUAAUACCGGAUAGUGGGGGAUGAAUCGCGUCCUAUCAGCUUGUUGGGGGGGUAGUGGCCUACCACGGCGACGACGGGUAGCCGGCCUGGGAGGGGGACCGGCCACAUUGGGCUAAGGUAGGGACCAAACUCCGACGGGGGGCAGCGGGGGGGAAUAUUGCACAAUGGGGGAAACCCUGAUGCAGCAACGCGCGUGCGGGAUGACGGCCUUCGGGUUGUAAACCGCUUUCAGCCAUGACGCGGUAGUGGCAGAAGAAGCACCGGCUAACUACGUGCCAGCAGCCGCGGUAAUAC